GACGAACCGUGCAAACGUUGUUCGGAAUCACUGGGCUUAAAGGGCGCGUAGGCGGGCUGGCCAGUCAGGGGUGAAAGCCCACGGCUCAACCGUGGAAGCGCCUUUGAUACUGCCAGUCUGGAGGGAAGUAGGGGCGUGCGGAACUUCCGGUGGAGCGGUGAAAUGCGUAGAUAUCGGAAGGAACACCGGUGGCGAAAGCGGCGCGCUGGACUUCUACUGACGCUGAGGCGCGAAAGCCAGGGGAGCAAACGGG
rnacentral:rRNA from 1 species